GGGCGGGGCCGGGAAAAUGGCGGCGGCUGAGGGGGAGAGGUUGGCUGGAGGCCCGGGCGCUGCCGCGGGUUGGAUUCAGAUGUCUGCAAUGGUCGUUGAAGAGUGAUUAAGAUUAUGCUGAGUCUAGGAAUCAGGUGCUAUGGAAAAUAAUGCUGUGAGUGUUCUUUGAACCUUCUUUCAUAUUUAGAGAGGCAAGGAAUAAUGUCCAUUGGGAGAUCAAGGAGACUUGCUUUUUAAAAUGUAUUUAUUUCUUCUUUUGACAAAGCAAUUAGAAACCCAUCAGAAUUUGUUGAAUAGAUUUAAUGGAGUUAAAAUAAAGUUAAAUGUGUGGUUCAGUCUUCAGAUACUAAGUCGUAGUAGAAUAUUCCAUACUGUCAGUAGGGAAGUUUUUCAUCCUGCCCUAAACAACGGCAUAGUGAAUGCUGUAGGAGUAGAGAGCAAUUGCCCUUCAUUCUCUAGUAUUUAAGUGGGUUGUACUUUCUGAUUGCUUCCGAUCAGAUAGGAUGUAACAGAAGUUUGGCCAAAAUUGUAACGUCAAACUCAUUAGUUUACACAGUGGAUGUAACCUGAAGGAGGAACUGUCAGCUUCCUUUCCACAUGAGAGGUUAAGUGUUCUGGAAGAAACUCAGCAAGACGUUGUGUUCGGAGCAUCGGUUUGCAGGGGCUCCCAGCGCCUGCAGACGUCGGAGUUCAGUGGGAGCUGGGAUUUGGGAGCUGCCUGUCCACAGACACCCGUCUGAUGCUCCAGCUCCAAGUCCUCCCUAAACCUGCUGCGUGUCUUCUUUGGCAUCUGGACCAUAGAUUACAGCUCCCCAUUUGAAAUAAGCUAUUGAGUCAGGCCCCAAAUGUACUUACAGACUAAAGAAAAGAAAAAGCUUAGCCGUACACUGCAGUUGUUGGUGAGGUGCAGGCCUUGCCUGCUGUGUGAAGGCGGUGUGUGCCACAAAAGGCCGUGUGACAGUGUGGGUUGACUUUAUGAUAAUCUUUUCUUCUCUGCCUCCCCUCUUUCCCCCUAUAUAUUAUUUAUUCCUAUUUGAGUAUUUCAAAAAGCUUGCAGAUUGCUAUUGCAACCACCCCCUUUCCUCUGCCCUUUUGGGGUUCACCGGCAGUAUUUAUCUUGUUCUGCUGCAUGCUGGUUUGCCUGCAAGAUCCACAGUGGUUAACUUUCUGUUUAAAAUAGUGUUUCUUUCUGUGAAGGAGAAGACGACUGGCAUGCUGGGCUGCAAAUCAUUUGGUGAGUCACCAGUUAAUAUACACAUCCUGAAUAAAAAAGCACUGCAGCUGCUAAUUUCUGUUUACUGCUUGACAAUAUGUACAAGAAGGGAAAGGGUAAUUGGUAUGUGUAGCCUUUUAUUGGUUGGUUUAUAUAUAUAAAUGGAAAAUAUGCCUUAGGGCUUUUUGAGCUCCAAGCCUCUAUUCGUGUGAAUGUAUGAGAAAUGCGCUGUGGGCUCUUUUGUCUUUUUUUCUCUCCCAUGGAUAGUCCGAGAGGGUGGAUCAGGAAGGAUGUAGGACUUGCCAUUACGGAAAGAGACGAUUUAUAAGAUGCCUAUCAAGAUUUGGUGUUAGUACUUGUUUUUCUCUUUCUUUAAACAUAAGUUGCCUAAGAGAGAGAAACAUAUAUUUUUUUAAUUCCUUAGGUCAGCUGUAUGAGCAGGUAAAUGGAAAUAGAAUGAGAAGUUCCAUUAUCAAAAUAACAGACUGAGAUGGACCUUAGGAGCAGGGUUUGGCCACUGCUCUGGUUAUGCAGAGAUGCUGGAAUCAGUCAUUGAUGUGUCUGUUCAUUUGCAGAGUUAAUGUCUUUAUGGAUCAACUUUCAACAGUUUCUGUAGUGAUUUUGGGAGCAUGAUUUGAGGCAGAAUCUGAAUGAAAGUGUGACCAAAGCCAGAGCACUUGUUCUUGCUUGUUGCAGAAACAGGACUCAGAGAACCUUUUCCAGAGUUCAGUGGUUUGGCUUUAUCUUCCUCUCUUUUUGAUACAGACUGUGCCAGAUUGCCAGUGGGUUUUGUUGUUCACAAAUUGUUGCCCAUCAACAAGAAGUUCAGGGAGAAUGCCUGGGAUUUUGGAUCAUUUUAGUAAGAAUAAGAAAUCGUGCUCUUUGUGAGGGUAUAAAAAGUGGGGGCUUUUCCAUAAAUAUAGCUGGUUAGUCUCUUUUUUUCCUUUAUCCCCAUCAAGGGAAAAUUAUUAUUAUUAUUUGCAGUUCUGACUUUUGUUCAGCCUGGUUCUUUAUGGCACAGUAAAAGAGCAAUAUCUAUGUCAUUAUUUCUCCUUUCAGCUGCCCCUAACCUGGUUAUCUUAAUGCUUGAAAGCGGGUUAGGAAAUGCAUUUUCUUUUCUGUUAUUUGGACAGUUGAUGGGUUAAGGAUUUGUGGGUGUAUUCUAGUUCACUAGUUCCUGUAUAAAGUAUAACCAUGAGCUGCCCUCAAAAUAAACCUGGGCUUGGCACAAAUUGAUGUUCUAAACAUGAUUGCACGUAAAUGUCAGAUAAGUGGAAAUACUCGGGGAAGUGGAAACAUUCCAGAAUUCUACUAUUUAUGGCAUCAAACCAGACAUUCGAAAAAGCUCAGUUCUUCAUUUCCAACAACUGAAAAAUGCUUCAUAUUUUUUAAUUUAAAAAUAAGGGCAAAUGACCUUUAAUUGCCAAGUUCAUUGGCAUUAAAAUGCUUGCUUUUUGUCUCCACGUUUCCUUAGUGAACUUUGGGAGAAAUAAACAAAUACGAUCUCAGUAAAGCAAGUUUCUAAUUCGGCAUUUUUUUUACAGCAUCUCAGAGCACUCCACUGACAUUUGCGGUUAAAAUCCCUUGACAGUCCUUUGUUAUAGAUGCAGCAAAUGGCUUUGGUAGGUCUGGAAACCUGAAGCAGAAAGAAUUGGGGUAAACUGGCCGAAUUUGUAGGGGGAGUCUGUGUUAGAACUGGGAUCAGGGCAGGAGUUUCCUCAUGCCCAGGGCUGUACUCCAGCUGUACUCCCACAGGAAAAGCACACGAGCACCACCACUGCGUUUAGCCAAUCGAACUGAACGCUGAAAUAGAAGCUCUGACAGACAACGCAUCUGGAAGAAGAGCACGUCUCUACCGUUCUAUGUGUAGACCGUCAACAGUAAAGUACUGGAGACUAUGAAACUGGAGUUUGUUGCUGCAAAUUUAUUAUCCCACCUCCAACAGGACUUUGAUUCCGUAAAGUAAUGACUGGUGUGAAAAAUGCAGUUGUGAUUCGUGCUAAGAUGUUUAAUGUUUACAGGUAUAACCAAAUGAGGCACGGACUCUGAACUUGGAAAAGGGAAAGGUGGUUAAGUUCUAUGUAAAAAGUUAUGAAGCUUGUUUAGGAAGUUAUAUUGAUAGAGGGAACUAACAUUUUAAGGGUUAAGCAACUGUGUAAUAAGGGCCUGCUAACAAGCUAACAUUUUAAACCACAUUAUUAAUAUCUAGUUUAGAGCUGUAAGUAACUACUUGUGCUAAAAAAAGUAGGACUUCAUUAAAUGCCGAGAUAAGAAGUUUUACAGAACCAGCUGUGCAACCUUGAGGAGACAAGAUAGCCAAGAUUUACAGUAAGAAGGAGGCACCAGUCUGGUUCCAGUUGGUUUGGUAGCUUGGAUUCCAGCCAGUUCCUCCUAAUGAGCCAAAGGUAAAAAGUCCACUGUGACGAAGCUGAAGGAGCCUUCAUCCAAAGACCCCUAAGACCCUUCCUCAAAUUCACCAAGUGACAUUGCGCGGGCGCAACAGGGGAGGGUCAAGGAGGGGAAUAUGUAAAUGGUUAUCUGAGACUCAUUUUAAUAAAAAGCGGGAAAGGUCAUGAAUAUGUAUAGGCGUUCCUGGGUCAUUAUGAAUAUGUAAUACCAUACUGUAUUUAAGCACACUUCUUAUUGUUAAAAGUGUGCGUGUUGGGCGGAGUGAAUCCCCUGCGCACCCAGCGCUGUUUUGCUUAUGCUCUAAUGAACACAUGUUUAAGGAAUACAAGAAAUUGGAUUAAAUGUUAUUUAUCCAUAGAAAAAGCGUAAGUUAUUUAUUUCACUGGGUUAUAGAGAGGUGAAAUUAUUGAAUGCACGAGCAUGCCAGAGGGAAGAUUGCCUGUCUGGCACGGGAAUGUGGUGCUUUGAUGUCCAGGGGUGAAUGCUACAAGGCACUUUGUACUCUCCUCUUUGUACCAGAUUAAAAUUACCGAGGAAUGAUACAACAA